GAUGAACGCUAGCUACAGGCUUAACACAUGCAAGUCGAGGGGCAGCAUGGUCUUAGCUUGCUAAGGCCGAUGGCGACCGGCGCACGGGUGAGUAACACGUAUCCAACCUGCCGUCUACUCUUGGACAGCCUUCUGAAAGGAAGAUUAAUACAAGAUGGCAUCAUGAGUCCGCAUGUUCACAUGAUUAAAGGUAUUCCGGUAGACGAUGGGGAUGCGUUCCAUUAGAUAGUAGGCGGGGUAACGGCCCACCUAGUCUUCGAUGGAUAGGGGUUCUGAGAGGAAGGUCCCCCACAUUGGAACUGAGACACGGUCCAAACUCCUACGGGAGGCAGCAGUGAGGAAUAUUGGUCAAUGGGCGAGAGCCUGAACCAGCCAAGUAGCGUGAAGGAUGACUGCCCUAUGGGUUGUAAACUUCUUUUAUAAAGGAAUAAAGUCGGGUAUGGAUACCCGUUUGCAUGUACUUUAUGAAUAAGGAUCGGCUAACUCCGUGCCAGCAGCCGCGGUAAUACGGAGGAUCCGAGCGUUAUCCGGAUUUAUUGGGUUUAAAGGGAGCGUAGAUGGAUGUUUAAGUCAGUUGUGAAAGUUUGCGGCUCAACCGUAAAAUUGCAGUUGAUACUGGAUAUCUUGAGUGCAGUUGAGGCAGGCGGAAUUCGUGGUGUAGCGGUGAAAUGCUUAGAUAUCACGAAGAACUCCGAUUGCGAAGGCAGCCUGCUAAGCUGCAACUGACAUUGAGGCUCGAAAGUGUGGGUAUCAAACAGGAUUAGAUACCCUGGUAGUCCACACGGUAAACGAUGAAUACUCGCUGUUUGCGAUAUACUGCAAGCGGCCAAGCGAAAGCGUUAAGUAUUCCACCUGGGGAGUACGCCGGCAACGGUGAAACUCAAAGGAAUUGACGGGGGCCCGCACAAGCGGAGGAACAUGUGGUUUAAUUCGAUGAUACGCGAGGAACCUUACCCGGGCUUAAAUUGCAGAUGAAUUACGGUGAAAGCCGUAAGCCGCAAGGCAUCUGUGAAGGUGCUGCAUGGUUGUCGUCAGCUCGUGCCGUGAGGUGUCGGCUUAAGUGCCAUAACGAGCGCAACCCUUGUUGUCAGUUACUAACAGGUUCCGCUGAGGACUCUGACAAGACUGCCAUCGUAAGAUGUGAGGAAGGUGGGGAUGACGUCAAAUCAGCACGGCCCUUACGUCCGGGGCUACACACGUGUUACAAUGGGGGGUACAGAGGGCCGCUACCACGCGAGUGGAUGCCAAUCCCCAAAACCUCUCUCAGUUCGGACUGGAGUCUGCAACCCGACUCCACGAAGCUGGAUUCGCUAGUAAUCGCGCAUCAGCCACGGCGCGGUGAAUACGUUCCCGGGCCUUGUACACACCGCCCGUCAAGCCAUGGGAGCCGGGGGUACCUGAAGUGCGUAACCGCGAGGAGCGCCCUAGGGUAAAACUG
rnacentral:rRNA from 1 species